CAGGUGCACCUGGGGCACCAUGCCCAUGGCUGAGGGCUCCACUGUGCUCUGGGGGCAGCUGCAACAGGCUGGAAACAGCCAGAUCCAGCUGGAACCAUCUGGAACGGGCUGGAAGUGGCCAGGGCAGCCCCAGUGUUGACUCCCCUCAGGGGCCCAGCAGCCCCUCAGCACCGUCCCCUCACCGCAUAGACCCAGCACAGGCCCUGAGGGCCACAGCAUAGGCCAAACUGGGAACUCUCACCCCACCUGUAAUAUGUGCACUUUUAAAACCUUGCACUCAUCUGACCUAGCAGUGCUGGGCAAUUCCACACUGGGCACUACUGGGACCAUUUUCCAAGGCGCCCACAGAGGGCGGGAGGUUCCCUCUCCCAACCCCUCUCCAUAACAAUAAGCAGCCCCUCAGCCCAAACCUCACUUUGUCAGAAGCUGCUCUUAAAUUUAAGUUAACACUUGCCAUCUAAUCUGAGUGUUUCUCUCACUGGUCACUAGCCACCACCAUGCUCAGAGGACGAAGAAAGCGUGAAUGUUGAUGUAGCAAGACCCAAAUGUGGCUUGCAGGGAGAAAGGGACAACAGAAAACCACUGAAGAGGAGUCAGUUGUUCACAGUGGUCUUCCACAGGGGAAAGACAUCAAAUAUUUCAGAGCAGACCAAGGAUUUUUUCCUCAAUCAGAUAAAAGUUCCCAUGAGUGUUUGGAAGGUAAUUGAAAACCAGUCUUCUAACAAAUGUGGUGACUGCCCUAACUAGAAGAGAUUCCAGUACUCAGGAAAGAGAACAGAAGCAGCUGCAAAUGGCAAGUGCAGGACGAGGCCAUGACUGGUGUCCAAGUGAUCACUGAGAUGCCCUGAGUGCACACACCCCAGUGUGGACAGGACUUGGAUCUGCUCUGAUGUUUGGACUUAUUGGACAAACUACAAAGCAACACUAAAAGCUGUCUCAAUAAAAACUGCAGGCCUGUGUUUGGCCAUACUCCACCACAACAACCUGUGCAUUGCAGAAACACACUCUCCAGAUCUCCCAUCUUGUGUUCAAAUAUGACAGUCUACUUCCUUUUGGAAUUUUUUUUCUUUUGCUUUUCCGUAAAAAUUUGAGAAUAAAA